rnacentral:rRNA from 1 species
GGGUUUAAAGGGUGCGUAGGCGGGCAUGUAAGUCAGUGGUGAAAUCCCCGAGCUUAACUUGGGAACUGCCGUUGAUACUAUUUAUCUUGAAUUUCGUUGAGGUUGGCGGAAUAUAUCAUGUAGCGGUGAAAUGCAUAGAUAUGAUAUAGAACACCGAUUGCGUAGGCAGCUGGCUGAACGACGAUUGACGCUGAGGCACGAAAGCGUGGGUAGCG